rnacentral:rRNA from 1 species
UACGAAGGGGGCGAGCGUUGUUCGGAUUUACUGGGCGUAAAGGGCGCGCAGGCGGCUCAUUUUGUCAGGCGUGAAAGCCCCGGGCUUAACCUGGGAACUGCGUUUGAUACGGAUGGGCUAGAGUUCGGGAGAGGAGAGUGGAAUUCCCAGUGUAGAGGUGAAAUUCGUAGAUAUUGGGAAGAACACCGGUGGCGAAGGCGGCCUUCUGGACAGUGACUGACGCUGAGACGCGAAAGCGUGGGGAGCAAACAGG